GAAAGUGGUUCCUUUGCUUGAUCCCAGCUCUCUCCCUAUGCUCUAAUUUUCUAGGCACCUGACUUGAGUCUCUGAGGUCCUCUUUGCUGAAGUGAAAGCCUGUGCUACAGAGGAAGAUGGGAAUAUGAAGAUUAUGAACUACAGCUGCCUGAGUUCCAGCAUUUUGCUGCUGCUGCUGGUAUACCUUGGUCAUGACCUGGAAGGACCACCCACUCUUGUAAAAGAGAGCGGCUGAAGCCAGUGGAAUUGUUUCUGAGUGUCAGGGAUGCUGACUUGAUGUUAUACUGACUCUAUGUAUCAGCUAGAAAUUGCCAGUUUCGUGUCUGACACUGCACUAUGUUAUGGGGAAAUGUGUUGCUCUCUGGAACAAAAAAAAAAAAAGGAAAAGUACCUAACUUUAUGAGCAAGUGCCUGAUUCUGCUUCUGAGAGACAUUAUUCUUCCCUUCAGUGAACUGAAAUGGAAACAUAUCACAUUUUUUGUUUGAUGUGCUAUACCAGCACUUUUCUGUCAUUUCAUUUUCACACAGUAACACAAGAAAUAAUUUUGAGGGAAAUCGAAAGGGUAAGAAGUUUUCUGAAUCUUUUUAGUUGAAAAGGAGUUUGAAAGAGAGCUGGGGGAGGUGUUUUAAUAUUCUUUCAGAAGUAAUUGGUGUUGCAAGGAAGUGUAGGAGGCUGAA